UCAAUAUUAUGUAUUUGGUUCUUGAAAAAUUAGGAGAGUAUAUAAAUAAGAGUGCUCAAAUCUUGCUAGCAAGUGCCUGUUAUGAUUCAUGUGAAGAUUAUUUCUUUGGGGGUAACUAACUCAAAACCUCAGAUUGUUUAUCGACUGACAAAUAAUUGGUAAGGCAUUCUACGAGGCACUGUUUGCCAUGUGGUGUGGAGUGUUAUCGUCUGAUUUUUUUAGCUUGUUAUAGUCUAGAGCGUUUCUCAAAUAAUUUUUGGAAUGGAUUUUGUGCAGAUUUGCAGCGAAGUAACUCCCAAAACUUCUUUGCAGCAAACUAACUCAAAAACUCAUUUUUAUUUAUUUUCUCUUCGUAGAUAAUAAUUUUCAGAUACUUGCUACUUAUAAUCUCAAUCAUAUAUAUUUUUAAGUCAUUGUUCUCUAGGCCAUCAUAUUUUCCUAAAGAUGGUAUUUCAGUUUCACGAAAAUCAUUGUUGCCUGUCAUAUAAGGAUCAAUUACUUCAUUCAGUUAUUGAACAUUUGAAAUGGACUAUGAUUUUGCAAAUUAUGUUUAUAUUUUGAAUAUGUAGAUUGACAUUCAAGUCCCUCAGGGAUCCCUUUGCUAAUGAAGCAUCACUACCUUGUUGGCUAUACAUGACCGUGCAUGUGUUAUUCCUUUAUGCAAAGCAAUCAGCUCAUUCUUGGCUUAUUCUGAAUGCAGCUGUCUGUUCUUUUGCAGCUGAUGAAGAAUUUUAUUAGAUCUCAAUUUUCAUGAAAGCUUCACUGAUUCCACAGAUGGGAGUCAUGUAUCUUCCAGCUUUGUAAUGCUAUUUUUUAGUGUGGGUUUUUCUUGACUGCUCUUAGUUGAGUGCUAAUUGCUAAGCCAUUAUCUCAAGCUGAGUAUGGUUACCUCUUGCUAAUUAAUGCCAUUAUUAGUUAUUUUCUAAUUGUUUAUCCAGCUCACAAGAGGAUAUUUUUCUAAAAUCCGUGAGUUGUUUCUUUUAUCUUGCAGCUUUUGAACAGAAACUGCAAACUUAACUGAACUAACAUAUAAACAGGAUUCAGAGGAGUAAGCAACAGCAAGGGGCCCUGCAUUCUCUUCUACUCUCGCUGUGCUGGUUUCGAUGCGACGGUACAGGACCUUGACAGUGCCCGCUCAACCUAAAGAUAACCUUAUCAUAUCAUGCGACGGACUUCAUUUCACCUCGUUUGGAAACAAGAUUUUGUUUGACGAGGUGCUCAAGAUGCUGGAAUAUAUUGGUUUUAACCAGAAAAUUCUCUGGUCGGAUCUCCCACUGUUCCUUGAAAUUGACCCAAAAGACCCAUUGAAAGCAUUGGAAAUUUGAACAAGGUACUUUAUGGUUCGAUUAAUCAUAAGGCAAGCUCUGCUUGGUUUGAACUCUUGUGUAUUUAUCAUGGUAUUUGGAACACUUUAUGCCAUGGGCGAGACAUGUUUAGAAGAUGUGAUUUAUGUUCCAUGUAUUCCGUAAGAAGUGAUCAUGCCAUUCUACGGUUUGCUAGCGAAAAACACAGUGAAGUUAAAUGGAAUUUUCUAUUAUUUUCCUGUACAUUCGGUAAGGUGAAGAGAAGCUUUGGUUUCUGUUGCAUUUGAAGACGAACAUUAGUUAAUGCCCUUCCAGUUAUUUUAUUUGGAAUGAUAAAUAUCUUUACCUAUUUUGGCUCAAAUUAAAUUGUAGGUUCUUUCUAUUUGAUUCAGUUCAAAUGGUUAAUAAUGCCUUUCCAUUAUUUUGCUUUUUAGCUCCUAUUACAGAAAUUAAUCCUGUAUGAAAAAAAUAUGAUAUUGGUUUGUAGGCCCCCCUUAAUGCCUUCAUUCUUGUCCGGGCUAUUUUCCAGACGAGUCUUGACCUUUUUCCUACUAAAAUCUGAUCAUCUGCCAUAUUUAGAGAUGCGAACUAAAUAACUCUAUUUUCCUAUAACGUCAUAUACAUUUUAUGCCUCUAAAUUAAAUGAGUACAAUGUUCUUUGACAAUGGAUUUUGCUUCCUCCUGCAUAAAUAGGCACGUCACGCAGCUGUGCUUAUGAUAUCAAUCUAACAUAUAUUGAUUCUUUCAAUUACUGACUUCUCGCUGCUCUCUUUCACACCCAUCUGCCUUCUUCGGGUUGCUCUUUGCGGAGUCCCCAAUAAUUUUUUGGGUAUCUAAGUUCAUUUCUUUUAACAAUCCCAGCUCCUUCGUUGCAAAGUAGACCAUGAUACAUCGCUCGAAAAAGAUUCUCCUUCUUCAGUUCCUCACCGUGAUAUGUCUUCCCAAUCCCAUAGGUAUCGAUCAUUUUUGCUCUUAAUUGUCUUGGUUUGUAGGUUGUAGCUGCAGGAUCAAGAUACGUGUAUGGACACCUCCGUCUUCAUGACUCAAUGGGAAAUUUGAUGAGGUCAAUAGACAGAUCCAAUUCACUUGCCUCGCCGCAAUUAGGGUUUGAGUGUUUGUGCUGUUACAACGGUUUGGGGCAACUGCUGACAAUUGCGACAAUUGCAAAUCUCCAAGAUCGUGUUUGCAGUGGUUUGAAGAUCAUCGAUGAGCCAUCGAGGUGAAACCUUUCAGCCAUUACUGCUUUCAUGCAGGUGUAAAUUCUUUGCUAUAAGCUGAAGCUCAGUAUGGGUUGUGUCGCUAGGACUAUGUCACACAUAAAGAAAACACUUUCUACCAUUGCCAUGAAGUUCAAUUAUUCAGAACCAUCGAUUAACUGGAAUGUUCACCGGCCGAGUGACGAGGUUGAGAUGUCUCUGCUAUAGCGCUAUAGUGAAUAGGAAGAUUCAUUCUUUUGUGGAUCAGGGUGCCCGUAAGUUCUAAUGGCAAAUUCCGCAGCGUCAGCUCGGGAAGGUGGCACGACCAUGGCGGGAAGGGACGAAUUGAUGUGGGAAUCGCCCGUUGAAGGUCCGCCACGUCCGCCCACCCCUGCCUGUCCAAAAUCUUUGCACCGUUGUACCGCAGAAGACCAUGGAGCACCACCCAAAAAAGCGACAGACUAAUGCAAGAGAUGACAUGUUGUGUUAUUUUGCUCCUUUUCAUCAAACGGAUAAUUAUUCACUAAUUCAGUUAAUGCUUGCUUGUUAUUGACAUUUACAAAUAUAUACAAAAUAAAUAUUGGCAAAAAUUUCACGGGAUCGUGCGCCAAGGCGCACAUUAAAAUCUAGUA